rnacentral:rRNA from 1 species
GGGACACGUGGUAUCCUGUCUGAAUAUGGGGGGACCAUCCUCCAAGGCUAAAUACUCCUGACUGACCGAUAGUGAACCAGUACCGUGAGGGAAAGGCGAAAAGAACCCCGGCGAGGGGAGUGAAAAAGAACCUGAAACCGUGUACGUACAAGCAGUGGGAGCACGCUUAGGCGUGUGACUGCGUACCUUUUGUAUAAUGGGUCAGCGACUUAUAUUCUGUAGCAAGGUUAACCGAAUAGGGGAGCCGAAGGGAAACCGAGUCUUAACUGGGCGUUAAGUUGCAGGGUAUAGACCCGAAACCCGGUGAUCUAGCCAUGGGCAGGUUGAAGGUUGGGUAACACUAACUGGAGGACCGAACCGACUAAUGUUGAAAAAUUAGCGGAUGACUUGUGGCUGGGGGUGAAAGGCCAAUCAAACCGGGAGAUAGCUGGUUCUCCCCGAAAGCUAUUUAGGUAGCGCCUCGUGAAUUCAUCUCCGGGGGUAGAGCACUGUUUCGGCAAGGGGGUCAUCCCGACUUACCAACCCGAUGCAAACUGCGAAUACCGGAGAAUGUUAUCACGGGAGACACACGGCGGGUGCUAACGUCCGUCGUGAAGAGGGAAACAACCCAGACCGCCAGCUAAGGUCCCAAAGUCAUGGUUAAGUGGGAAACGAUGUGGGAAGGCCCAGACAGCCAGGAUGUUGGCUUAGAAGCAGCCAUCAUUUAAAGAAAGCGUAAUAGCUCACUGGUCGAGUCGGCCUGCGCGGAAGAUGUAACGGGGCUAAACCAUGCACCGAAGCUGCGGCAGCGACGCUUAUGCGUUGUUGGGUAGGGGAGCGUUCUGUAAGCCUGCGAAGGUGUGCUGUGAGGCAUGCUGGAGGUAUCAGAAGUGCGAAUGCUGACAUAAGUAACGAUAAAGCGGGUGAAAAGCCCGCUCGCCGGAAGACCAAGGGUUCCUGUCCAACGUUAAUCGGGGCAGGGUGAGUCGACCCCUAAGGCGAGGCCGAAAGGCGUAGUCGAUGGGAAACAGGUUAAUAUUCCUGUACUUGGUGUUACUGCGAAGGGGGGACGGAGAAGGCUAUGUUGGCCGGGCGACGGUUGUCCCGGUUUAAGCGUGUAGGCUGGUUUUCCAGGCAAAUCCGGAAAAUCAAGGCUGAGGCGUGAUGACGAGGCACUACGGUGCUGAAGCAACAAAUGCCCUGCUUCCAGGAAAAGCCUCUAAGCAUCAGGUAACAUCAAAUCGUACCCCAAACCGACACAGGUGGUCAGGUAGAGAAUACCAAGGCGCUUGAGAGAACUCGGGUGAAGGAACUAGGCAAAAUGGUGCCGUAACUUCGGGAGAAGGCACGCUGAUAUGUAGGUGAAGUCCCUCGCGGAUGGAGCUGAAAUCAGUCGAAGAUACCAGCUGGCUGCAACUGUUUAUUAAAAACACAGCACUGUGCAAACACGAAAGUGGACGUAUACGGUGUGACGCCUGCCCGGUGCCGGA